UUAAGCGACUAAGCGUACACGGUGGAUGCCCUGGCAGUCAGAGGCGAUGAAGGACGUGCUAAUCUGCGAUAAGCGUCGGUGAGGUGAUAUGAACCGUUAUAACCGGCGAUUUCCGAAUGGGGAAACCCAGUGUGUUUCGACACACUAUCAUUAACUGAAUCCAUAGGUUAAUGAGGCGAACCGGGGGAACUGAAACAUCUAAGUACCCCGAGGAAAAGAAAUCAACCGAGAUUCCCCCAGUAGCGGCGAGCGAACGGGGAGGAGCCCAGAGCCUGAAUCAGUGUGUGUGUUAGUGGAAGCGUCUGGAAAGGCGUGCGAUACAGGGUGACAGCCCCGUACACAAAAAUGCACAUAUUGUGAGCUCGAUGAGUAGGGCGGGACACGUGGUAUCCUGUCUGAAUAUGGGGGGACCAUCCUCCAAGGCUAAAUACUCCUGACUGACCGAUAGUGAACCAGUACCGUGAGGGAAAGGCGAAAAGAACCCCGGCGAGGGGAGUGAAAAAGAACCUGAAACCGUGUACGUACAAGCAGUGGGAGCCUCUUAAUGGGGUGACUGCGUACCUUUUGUAUAAUGGGUCAGCGACUUAUAUUCUGUAGCAAGGUUAACCGAAUAGGGGAGCCGAAGGGAAACCGAGUCUUAACUGGGCGUUAAGUUGCAGGGUAUAGACCCGAAACCCGGUGAUCUAGCCAUGGGCAGGUUGAAGGUUGGGUAACACUAACUGGAGGACCGAACCGACUAAUGUUGAAAAAUUAGCGGAUGACUUGUGGCUGGGGGUGAAAGGCCAAUCAAACCGGGAGAUAGCUGGUUCUCCCCGAAAGCUAUUUAGGUAGCGCCUCGUGAAUUCAUCUCCGGGGGUAGAGCACUGUUUCGGCAAGGGGGUCAUCCCGACUUACCAACCCGAUGCAAACUGCGAAUACCGGAGAAUGUUAUCACGGGAGACACACGGCGGGUGCUAACGUCCGUCGUGAAGAGGGAAACAACCCAGACCGCCAGCUAAGGUCCCAAAGUCAUGGUUAAGUGGGAAACGAUGUGGGAAGGCCCAGACAGCCAGGAUGUUGGCUUAGAAGCAGCCAUCAUUUAAAGAAAGCGUAAUAGCUCACUGGUCGAGUCGGCCUGCGCGGAAGAUGUAACGGGGCUAAACCAUGCACCGAAGCUGCGGCAGCGACACUAUGUGUUGUUGGGUAGGGGAGCGUUCUGUAAGCCUGUGAAGGUGGCCUGUGAGGGUUGCUGGAGGUAUCAGAAGUGCGAAUGCUGACAUAAGUAACGAUAAAGCGGGUGAAAAGCCCGCUCGCCGGAAGACCAAGGGUUCCUGUCCAACGUUAAUCGGGGCAGGGUGAGUCGACCCCUAAGGCGAGGCCGAAAGGCGUAGUCGAUGGGAAACAGGUUAAUAUUCCUGUACUUGGUGUUACUGCGAAGGGGGGACGGAGAAGGCUAUGUUGGCCGGGCGACGGUUGUCCCGGUUUAAGCGUGUAGGCUGGUUUUCCAGGCAAAUCCGGAAAACCAAGGCUGAGGCGUGAUGACGAGGCACUACGGUGCUGAAGUGACAAAUGCCCUGCUUCCAGGAAAAGCCUCUAAGCAUCAGGUAACAUCAAAUCGUACCCCAAACCGACACAGGUGGUCAGGUAGAGAAUACCAAGGCGCUUGAGAGAACUCGGGUGAAGGAACUAGGCAAAAUGGUGCCGUAACUUCGGGAGAAGGCACGCUGAUAUGUAGGUGAAGCGACUUGCUCGUGGAGCUGAAAUCAGUCGAAGAUACCAGCUGGCUGCAACUGUUUAUUAAAAACACAGCACUGUGCAAACACGAAAGUGGACGUAUACGGUGUGACGCCUGCCCGGUGCCGGAAGGUUAAUUGAUGGGGUUAGCGGUAACGCGAAGCUCUUGAUCGAAGCCCCGGUAAACGGCGGCCGUAACUAUAACGGUCCUAAGGUAGCGAAAUUCCUUGUCGGGUAAGUUCCGACCUGCACGAAUGGCGUAAUGAUGGCCAGGCUGUCUCCACCCGAGACUCAGUGAAAUUGAACUCGCUGUGAAGAUGCAGUGUACCCGCGGCAAGACGGAAAGACCCCGUGAACCUUUACUAUAGCUUGACACUGAACAUUGAGCCUUGAUGUGUAGGAUAGGUGGGAGGCUUUGAAGUGUGGACGCCAGUCUGCAUGGAGCCGACCUUGAAAUACCACCCUUUAAUGUUUGAUGUUCUAACGUUGGCCCGUAAUCCGGGUUGCGGACAGUGUCUGGUGGGUAGUUUGACUGGGGCGGUCUCCUCCUAAAGAGUAACGGAGGAGCACGAAGGUUGGCUAAUCCUGGUCGGACAUCAGGAGGUUAGUGCAAUGGCAUAAGCCAGCUUGACUGCGAGCGUGACGGCGCGAGCAGGUGCGAAAGCAGGUCAUAGUGAUCCGGUGGUUCUGAAUGGAAGGGCCAUCGCUCAACGGAUAAAAGGUACUCCGGGGAUAACAGGCUGAUACCGCCCAAGAGUUCAUAUCGACGGCGGUGUUUGGCACCUCGAUGUCGGCUCAUCACAUCCUGGGGCUGAAGUAGGUCCCAAGGGUAUGGCUGUUCGCCAUUUAAAGUGGUACGCGAGCUGGGUUUAGAACGUCGUGAGACAGUUCGGUCCCUAUCUGCCGUGGGCGCUGGAGAACUGAGGGGGGCUGCUCCUAGUACGAGAGGACCGGAGUGGACGCAUCACUGGUGUUCGGGUUGUCAUGCCAAUGGCACUGCCCGGUAGCUAAAUGCGGAAGAGAUAAGUGCUGAAAGCAUCUAAGCACGAAACUUGCCCCGAGAUGAGUUCUCCCUGACUCCUUGAGAGUCCUGAAGGAACGUUGAAGACGACGACGUUGAUAGGCCGGGUGUGUAAGCGCAGCGAUGCGUUGAGCUAACCGGUACUAAUGAACCGUGAGGCUUAACCUU
rnacentral:rRNA from 51 species